AAUAUUGCACAAUGGGCGCAAGCCUGAUGCAGCCAUGCCGCGUGUAUGAAGAAGGCCUUCGGGUGUAAAGUACUUUCAGCAGUGAGGAAGGUGGGUAUGUUAAUAGCAUACUCAUUUGACGUUAGCUGCAGAAGAAGCACCGGCUAACUCCGUGCCAGCAGCCGCGGUAAUACGGAGGGUGCGAGCGUUAAUCGGGAAUUACUGGGCGUAAAGCGCAUGCAGGUGGUUUGUUAAGUCAGAUGUGAAAGCCCGGGGCUCAACCUCGGAAUUGCAUUUGAAACUGGCAAACUAGAGUACUGUAGAGGGGGUAGAAUUUCAGGUGUAGCGGUGAAAUGCGUAGAGAUCUGAAGGAAUACCGGUGGCGAAGGCGGCCCCCUGGACAGAUACUGACACUCAGAUGCGAAAGCGUGGGGAGCAAACAGGAUUAGAUACCCUCGGUAG
rnacentral:rRNA from 1 species